rnacentral:lncRNA from 1 species
UGCCUCUUUUUUUUUCACCAUCCCUGUAUCUGAGAAAUAGUCCCUGUCUUUAUGAGAUAAAUCUUUUUAAUCUAUAUAAAUGAGUAAAUAGUAGAGGGAGGGAAACUUCUUUUAAUGAAAAUGGGAGACAUCAUUUCCCCCCAAAACACUCCUACCACCCUGCCUCUCAAAGAGAACGAUGCUAUUAUAAGAUCUUGAUUAAACUACCGUGCUUAAAAUCAAAAUUUAUUUAUCCAUAGGUAUGUUUGUGCAGCCUGCUGAAGGAAGCCAUAAGGAAUCCCUACUUCCAUUUUUAAUUAAGAUACUCAAAUAUCAUCUUGUAGAACUACAACUGUAUUCAAGAGGUACCUUCAACAUCUCUGUUCCUAUUUCAGUGAGCCUCAGGAUUCACUAUGGACUUCUCACCUCCUCCAUUUCAAUGAAUUUCUGUGAUUCGUAGGAUGCCCACAGCAACAGAUAAGAAAGCAGAUGCAGAAACCAAAAUACUUUUGCUCUGGGAUAAGAAGUCACAAUUAUUUCUCAUCAGUGCUGCUUCACUAGCUCCGAUUUUUUCCAGAGCUCUGGAGCCUGCUUGUUUACCUGGACUUAGAGGAGUUAAAAGUACUCGAUAAAUUAUAAAUGCCUGCAGGGAAAGACAAGAUGUUAAUCAAUUUGUAUUCUCUGAAUCUAGCUCAGUGCUUGAAUAAGGUGUCCAGUAAAAGCUGUAAAAAGAAUGCAUGUUGAAAUCUUGCUCCUGCGUGCCUUCGAUGAACUAUCUUGUGAACUUCCUGACUAAAGAGCAAUAUUAUGUAUAAGUACCUGGUUACUUAGCAGGACACUGAUUACUAACACUGUGUUUCUGACUAUGGCAAUAUGACCUGAAUUUAACUUGUAUAAUUGAAAAUUAAUAGCAUGGCUUGAAACAAUGCUUAAGCAUAAACACAAAAUUAACAUUUGUCAAACUAAACGGGAAAAGAAAAAAAAUAUAUUUUUUUAAUUUGUUCUGGUGAACAGAAUUCCUAACUUUUCUUUUUCUGCUUUUUCAAUAUUGCAAGUGAACAGAGAUUUCCUAGAGAGCAGUGGGAAAUAUAUAAAAUUAUAAAGUUUCAUGCUGAAUUUAAAUUUUGACCAGCUCCUAUAAUAUUUAUUAUUGUUGUGUGAAUUGCCUUGUAGCUAUGAAAACUGGUUUCUCAUUUGAAGGCAGCUCGUAGUCAGGAACUGAUUUUAUAAUUGAAGGCAUUAGGAAAUUCAACGUCAUUAGUGUAAUUAUGGAAAGGUGAUUCAUAGCUUUGGGAUAUUUUUCUUUGUUCAAAGAAGACAGUGUCUCUAGGAGACAAACAAAGUAGAUAGCUCAGUUUAAUGAAUAAAUAUUUGUGAAAUACUGAAAACUGAAAACUUUUGGUUAUAAGUGUAAGAAUUGUUCAUUGUGUAAAAAGAUGUACUUUUACAUAUAAUUAUUGAUAUUUUUCUCUAAAACGUAAAAUGUGAAAUGUGAUACAAAUAAUUUUUUGAAACAAUCAAUAGUAAGGAAAAUACAAUGCUUAAAACAGGCAGAGAAACCAAACAGUUACCUAAUAAAUUCUCACAUAAUAUCAUUUUUAAUAUUUGUUUUCCUCUUGAAGAAUAAGUAUCAUUUAUUAAGUAUCAUAAAAUAAAACAUUACUCACUGGCCUGGCCCGGUGACUCAUGCCUGAAAUUCCAGCACUUUGGGAGGCUGAGGAGGGCGGAUUGCUUGAGCCUGGAUUCGAAACCAGCCUGAGAAAGGUGGUGAGACCUCGUCUUUAUUAUUGUUUUUGUUUUUGUUUUAAAUUACUUGGAGCUUCUUUCUAAUGGCUUCCUUACUUUUAAAAAAGCCAAACAUUCCUUCAUUUAUACAAUGUGGUUCUAAAUUCCUUCUGCAAUUUAUUUUUAUUCCCUAAAAACAUGUAGAUAAUAGCUAUUAAUAAUAAGAAAUCUGAUUUUUCUUCUAUUUUGUAUCAGUCAAAAAUAUUAUUUUAAGAACAUAAUGAAAAGUAUUCAAUAUAUGGUUAUCAGAAUUUUUUACACAAUUUUAAAAUGAAGAAAUACCAUUCGUCUAAACUAGUAGAGGGAGAACAGUACUAGGGGAUUAAAUUAACGUCUUACUUUUCAUUAUUAGACACACUUACAUGAGAAAAGGCAAAUAAAGCAAAACAUAAGCAAAGAGACUCUUGCAAAAGUCAAUGUCUAUGACUUAAUUAGGAUAAGGCAAGUGAAGAGAAACAAAUGAAUAUAAAUAGCAGUUGUGUGCUUCCAUAUAAAAUAUAUGGAAACAAAUGACUACUGGUACUUUGCUCUCCAUUAGGAUAACAUGUAAAGACGCAAUCACCUUCAACACUCAAAUAAUAAAACCCAUAUUUUAUCCACACUCAGCUUCUAUCAAUCCCACUUCAUAAAUGCAUUUCAAACUCUUUCCACCCUCUGUAUCUUCACCACCACCACAUUCUUAGCUACCAUAAUUUCUAAUCUUGAGUAGUAAUGCAGUGCCCUGAUAAGAAGCAUUUUAUAGAGAAAAUGGAAAGAAGUUUGAAUAACUACUUAAUUAUCUUGACACAUACAUAAAUAAAUAAAUCUUAGACAAGGAUGAAUAUAAAAAAUAAUGUAUAAAUGUGUCUUAUAAGGCAUUUAGAUACAAAACCUAAAGGUCUUUUUACUUAAACCAGUCAAAAUGAAUAUAGAUAAUACUGCAUUUAGUCAACUAUAAAUGUACAUUUUUCUGCAUUUUUAACACCUCUGAAAUUGAGAUGUGUCAUAAUUAAUGCUAUUAUAAUUUGUAAAGUACGCUAACUCAAGUAGUUGCAUAUCAACUUGCGUUACCUGUUCUACCUGCUAACAUUUCCACCCAGAAGAAAUAUUUUAUUAUCAAAUGGCAGAAACAAUUUUCACAGUAGCCACAUAAAUAGGCUUUGGAUCACAAAAAUCAUAAAUUACUCCCGUGUUGACCUUCCACUAUCAAAAAAGUUUUAAACCCUCCCAGAAAGUUUAGUAGAAAGAGAAAGAGUCAACGGUACGGUGGUAAGAGCAUGCACUCUAAAUCAUGUUGCUUAGAAUAUAUACUAGAUGUGUCAAGUGGCAAGACACUUAACCCUCUGUGCCAACAAACUGCAGAUAACAAUAAUUAUUUCAAUGUAUUUUUGAAGAUUAACAGAUAUUACAUAUCACAAUGCUUAAUGAAUAAUAUGUACUCCAAUAAUUAUAUUAUAUUUUGAUGCUGAUUACUCAUGUUCAAAUGAGGAUUUAAGGCCUCAUUAGAAAUUUAGGCAAUUGGUUAAUCUACUUCUCUAUUCAAUCAACAUAUAGUCAGUGCUAUAUGUGCUGAAGGCACAGUAUUUUCCCUGCUUUAGAGUAGCAAUGUAAUGAGGGAACCAAAGUUAAAAAGCAAAAAGAAGUGAAUUUUAAUGUUGAUAAAAUCAUGCCAUACUAAGAAAUGUGCCUAUAUUAAGGUAAAGUAAUAAACUAUAAAGUUGUUUAACAACAUUUUUAUUCCACUUUUUUUCUUUCCAGUUCCUUAUUGAGUUAAAACUUGUAAAAACUGACAGGUUUGGGUGGCUCAUGCCUGUAAUUCCAGCAUUUUGUGAGGCCAAGGUGGGCAGAUCACCUGAGGUCAGGAGUCUGAAACCAGCCUGCCCAAUAUGGUAAAACCCUGUCUCUACUAAAAAUACAAAAAUUAGCUGGGCAUGGUAGCAUGCGCCUGUAGUCCCAGCUACUAAGGAAGCUGAAGAAGGAGAAUCACUUGAACCAGGGAGGAGGUGGUUGCAGUGAGCCGAGAUUGUGCCACUGCACUCCAGCCUGGGUGACACAGCAAGACUCCGUCGUUAAAAAAAAAAAAAAGCUAUUAACAUAAACUUCAUAGUGUUUUUUAAAGAAGCUACACAUACAAGUUCUUAGUUGCUUCCAAGUUUUUAAGUUUUCAUUUUUAAUUUCUGUAUUAAAAUGCUUUUACCCUGCUAUAAACAAUACCUGAGACUGGAUAAUUUAUAAUGGAAGCAGGUUUAUUUGACUCACGGUUCUGCAUAACUGAGGAGGCCUCAGAAGACUUACAAUCAUGGCAGAAGGUGAAGGGGAAGCAAGACAAGAAAGGCUCUCUCAUUUUUAAACCAUCAGAUUUCGUGAGAACUCAUUAUCAUUAGAACAGCAUGGAAGAAACUGCCACCUUAAACCAAUUGCCUCCCACCAGGCCUCUCCCUCCACAUGUGGGGAUUACAAUUAGAGAUGAGAUUUGGGUGGAGACACAGAGCCAAACCAUAUCAAUUUCCAAGACCUUAUCUUCUCUGUAUUUUGUGUAACAUAUAAGGUGCCCCAAUGUUACUUUUAGUUAAUGUUUACAUCACAUAAAAAGUUACUAGUCUUCUCUGAACAUGAACUUUAUAAGCAUAACAUUUUUAUCAACUUUGAAUGCACAUUUUAAUUUUACUAAGAGUUCCAUAUACCUUCAGUGUUUCUUCUAGAAAUAAGCCUAAAC